CAUGUGGCAGCUGGCUUCCCCAGAAUCACCAAGAGCAAACAUGGCAGAAGCUGCAAUAUCUUUUUUGACUUGCCAUUGGAAGUCACACUUCAUCAUUUCUGCAGUAUUGGACUAGUUACCCAGGUGCUGCCCAGUGUGUGAAGAGACCACAGGAUGUUGUUCCUUUCAUCUUUAAUGACUCAAAGACAAGAUAUAAGCAACAGGAGCAAGUUUUGCUGAAAACUACAUUUAUACAUUUGUCUCCAGUGUGGACAUGUGACCUAGGCCCUGCUAUCCAGACACCACAAAACUUCACCCUAAUGAGGCAGAAACACAGGCCCCGCACAGAAUCCAAUCUGCUGAGGUGGCUGCUGAAACUACUACUGCUGCAGUUGCCACUACCACCAGCACCACCAGGCGACCAUCAUCAUUGUGCAAGCAGACUGUUGCUGCUGGAGCCACCACUGCCAUAUGAGGAGACCAGCAAAACUACCACCACAACCACCACCACUACAAGCCCAGCCUGCUACCACAGCAGCAGCCAGUGCUGCUGUGCAGGUGGACAACCAACCACUUGACUGCACUGACACAAGGAGGGUCACCAGUGGAGUCUAGGGAAGGAGAGUAAUAGAAGAUGCAACUGCAAGAUGAGCAGAUAUCAAUGUAGACAUACUAGAAAUAUGAAAAACAGGAAAGUAUGAGUCCACCAGAGAAACACAAUGAUUGUCAAGGACCAGACCCCAUAGAACAAGAAAACCUUGAAAUGACUGAAAAGGAAUUCCAAGUAAAAAUCUUGAGGAAACUCAAUGAGAUAAAAGAAGAUCCAGUUAGAUGACAAACUGAGCUGAGCAAAAAUAUCCAGAAUACAAAGGAGGAAAUUUAAAAAGGGAUUAAUACUUUAAAAAAGAAUGUAGGAGAACUCAUGGAACUGAAGGAGUCAUUCAACAACAACACCAAAAUACAACUGAGUUUAAGCAGCAGGGUAGAGCAAGCAGAAGAAAGAAUUUCUGAUCUUGAAGACAGUCUCUUUGAAAUAACUUGGGCAGACAAAGAAAAGAAUUUUAAAAAAUGGAGAAAAUUUAAGAGAGAUAGCAGAUAACCUUAAGUGCACAAACAUUCAAAUCAUGGGUGUUCCUGAAGGAGAGGAGAAAGGAAAAGGCAUUAAGAACAUAUCCAACAAAGUAAUAGCAGAAAACUUCCCAGGUACAGGAGAGACUUGGAUGUUCAGAUUUAGGAGACUUAAAGAUCCCCAAACAGAUUCAAUCCAAAAAGAUCCUCCCAAGACACAUUAUAGUUAAAUUUGCAAAGCUCAAAGACAAAGGGAAAAUUCUAAAAGCAGCAAGAGAAAAGCAUCAAGUCACCUAUAAGGGAACCCCUAUCAGACUAACAGCAGACUUCUCAACUGAAACCCUACGGGCCAGGAGAAAGUGGAAUGAUAUAUUCAAAAUACUAAAAGAAAAAUAUUUUCAGCCAAGAAUUCUUUACCCAGCAAGGCUCUCCUCCAGAAAUGAGGGAGAAAUAGUGAAUUUCCCAGACUAACAAAAAUUGUGGGAGUUCACCAUCACACAACCAGCCCUACAAGAAAUGCUCAAGAGAGUCUCUCAUCUGGAAUCUGAGUAAUGAUGAUCACUAUCAUGGAUACACAGAAACAGCAAAACCCACUGUUAAAACAAAAAUGCAAAUGAGAAAGAGAAAGAAGCUAAUUCAUGCCACCUCAAAUUUCCAACUAACAUGGAAGAAGAGAAAUAAAAGGGGAAGUAAUGACCAAAAGACAUUGAAAACAUUUAAACAAAAUACUAUUAAAUGACAGGUAUCAAACAAUACCUGUCAAUAACAACCCUAAAUGUGAAAGGGUUAAACUACCCAUUCAAAAGACACAGAUUAACUGAUUGGAUUAAAAAGCUAUACCCAACUAUAUGCUGACUUCAAGAGACUCACUUCACCUGUAAAGACACGUGCAGACUAGGAGUGAAAGGAUGGAAAAAGAUAUACCACACACAUUGAAACCAAAAGCGAGCAGGGGUAGCUAUUCUUAAACUGAAUAAAACAGACAUUAAGCCAAAAACCAUAAAGAGAGACAAAGAAAGCCACUAUAGAAUGAUAGAGGGAUCUAUCCAGCAAGAAGGUGUAACAAUCAUAAAUAUAUACCUACCCAACAUGGGAGCAGCCACAUAUAUAAAGCAAACACUAUCAGACCUAAAGAAAUAGACAGACCCAAAUCAAUAAUAGUUGGGGACCUGAACACCACUCUGUCAACACUGGUAGAUCAUCUAGGCAACAAAUCAACAGAGAAACACAGGAUUUAAACCACACUUUAGACCAGAUGGACUUGGCAGAUAUCUACAGAUCAUUUUAUCCAACAACCACAGAGUAUACAUUCUUCUCAUCAGCACAUGGAACAUUCUCCAGGAUAGACCACAUGUUAGGACACAAAUCAUGCCUCAACAGAUUUUAAAAAAUUGAAAUCAUUUCAAGUAUCGUCUCAGACCACAAUGGAUUAAAACUAGAAAUCAAUAACAAGUGAAACUCUGGAAACUGUACAAACACAUGGAAAUUAAACAACAUGCGCCUAAACACCAUAUAGGCCCAAGAAGAAAUUAAACAGGAAAUCAAAAAAUUUCUCAAAACUAAUGAAAAUAAAGACACGUUAUACCAAAACCUGUGGGACAAUGCAAAAGUAGUAUUAAUGGGAAAUUUAUUGUAAUCAACACUUACAUAAAAAAAAAUAAAAAAUAAAAAGAUUUCAAAUAAACAACCUGAAACUAUGAAACUCCUAAAAGAAAACAUAGGGAAAACACUUCAGGAAGUAGGACUGGGCAAAGACUUUAUGAAUAUGACCCCCAAAGCACAGGCAACAAAAGGAAAAAUAAACAAAUGGGAUCAUAUCAAACUAAAAAAGCUUCUGCACAGCAAAAAAACAAAAUAACAAUUAAAAGAGUGAAAAGACAACUUACAGAGUGCGAGAAAAUAUUUGCAAGCUAUGCAUCCAACAAAGGAUUAAUAUCCAGAAUGUACAAGGAACUCAAACAACUUAAUAGUAAAAAAAACAGCCCAAUUAAAAAAUGGGCAAAGGAACUAAACAGGCAUUUCUCAAAGGAAGACAUACAAAUGGCCAACAGACACAUGAAAAAAUGCUCAGCAUUACUCAGCAUCAGGGAAAUGCAAGUCAAAACCACACUGAGAUAUCAUCUCACCCCAGUUAGCCUGGCUAUUAUCAAAAAAGACAGAGAAUAACAAAUGCUGGUGAAGAUGUGGAGAAAAAGGAACCCUCCACACUGUUGAUGGGACUGUAAAUUAGUGCAGCCAUUAUGGAGGUUUCUCAAACAAUUACAGAUAGAACCGCCAUACAAUCCAGCAAUCUCACUUCUGGAUGUAUACCCAAAGGAAUGGGAAUUGUCAUGUCGAAGUGAUACUUGCACUCCCAUGUUUAUUGCAAUGGACAAGAGUUUGAACCAACCUAAAUGUCCAUAGUCAGAUGACUGGAUAAGGAAAAUGUGGUAUGUAUACACAGUGGAAUACUACUCUAUCAUAAAAAAGAAUGAAAUAUUGCCAUUUGCAGCAACAUGAACUUAGAGACAAUCAUGUUAAGUGGAAUAAGCCAGGCACAGAAAGAAAAAAACUGCGUGUCCUCAUUCAUAAGUGGGAGCUAAAAAAUAAACAAAUAAAUAAAAAAGAAAGAAAGAAAGAUAGAACAAUCACAAUAAUAUGUUGAACUUUCAAAAGGAGAGAAGAGAACUGAGCUUACCAGAGGUGGGAAAAGGGUAAGUGGAGGGGGUAAGGGAAGAACAGGUAAAGGGCCAUAAAAAACAUUACAUUGUAUAAUGUUGAAAAUACUAAUUAUCCUGAUAUGAGCAUUACAUAUUGUACACAGGUAAUAAUAUUCAACUCUGUACCCCACA